rnacentral:rRNA from 1 species
GUAACAAGGUCUCCGUAGGUGAACCUGCGGAGGGAUCAUUACACAAAUAUGAAGCCGGACUGGGAUAGGGCCUCGCUGCCUUGCCCGUCUGGCGCCAUAUUCACCCAUGUCUUUUUGCGUACUACUUGUUUCCUUGGCGGGUCCGCCCGCCAAUUGGACCUUAUUCAAACCUUUUUUUUCAGUUGCAAUCAGCGUCAGCAAAACAAAUGUAAUCAAUUACAACUUUCAACAACGGAUCUCUUGGUUCUGGCAUCGAUGAAGAACGCAGCGAAAUGCGAUAAGUAGUGUGAAUUGCAGAAUUCAGUGAAUCAUCGAAUCUUUGAACGCACAUUGCGCCCUUUGGUAUUCCAAAGGGCAUGCCUGUUCGAGCGUCAUUUGUACCCUCAAGCUUUGCUUGGUGUUGGGCGUCUUGUCUCUCUCCCGAGACUCGCCUUAAAAUCAUUGGCAGCCGGCCUACUGGUUUCGGAGCGCAGCACAUUAUUUGCGCUCUUGUCCAGCCGCGGUCGCGCGUCCAUGAAGCUUCUUUCAACCUUUUGACCUCGGAUCAGGUAGGGAUACCCGCUGAACUUAA